UCUCUCUACUCCUCUGCAUCCCGCAACACAGGAGCCCUCAUAAGGAAAUGAAGACCCAAAGAAGCAGUUGGUGUCAGUUACUUCUAUACCGAAUUGGACAAAGAAUACCAGAGCCUAAGCCUGGAGACCUGAUUGAGAUUUUUCGCCCUUUCUAUAGACACUGGGCCAUCUACGUUGGCGAUGGAUAUGUGGUUCAUCUGGCCCCUCCAAGUGAGGUCGCAGGAGCUGGUGCAGCCAGUG
rnacentral:sRNA from 1 species